rnacentral:lncRNA from 1 species
AUGGCCAAUGCAACUUUCCCUUAGCAUUCGGCCGGUGGCGGCAACGCAACCGUUUGUCGGCAACGACAAUCCCCUUCGUCUUCUAUCUUCGAUUGCUACCCCAAUUUCAAUGUGAACCAGCGGCGGUGGUGAAAUCCCACAUAGACGUCUACUGGAUGGUGAAUGUGGAGGAGCGGGCUAUCUCGUAUUUGGAGGCCCAAGACCGCGUAACAAAAGGGGUUUCACUAAAAUGGCUCUAACUUGGGCUACGGG